AUUGAACGCUGGCGGCAGGCCUAACACAUGCAAGUCGAGCGGAUGAAGGGAGCUUGCUCCUGGAUUCAGCGGCGGACGGGUGAGUAAUGCCUAGGAAUCUGCCUGGUAGUGGGGGAUAACGUCCGGAAACGGGCGCUAAUACCGCAUACGUCCUGAGGGAGAAAGCGGGGGAUCUUCGGACCUCACGCUAUCAGAUGAGCCUAGGUCGGCUUAGCUAGUUGGUGGGGUAAAGGCCUACCAAGGCGACGAUCCGUAACUGGUCUGAGAGGAUGAUCAGUCACACUGGAACUGAGACACGGUCCAGACUCCUACGGGAGGCAGCAGUGGGGAAUAUUGGACGAUGGGCGAAAGCCUGAUCCAGCCAUGCCGCGUGUGUGAAGAAGGUCUUCGGAUUGUAAAGCACUUUAAGUUGGGAGGAAGGGCAGUAAGUUAAUACCUUGCUGUUUUGACGUUACCAACAGAAUAAGCACCGGCUAACUUCGUG
rnacentral:rRNA from 1 species